GGGUUUUAGUUCGUGAAAUUUGUUGCUCGUUUGAACUGCUUGCGUCCUGUAUCGAGUUUUAUUGUUUUGCGUUUGUUACUUCACUUCGGAUUUCAGAUUCUUGAGAAGUGCGAGUUUUUGAAUCCAGGUGGAAGUAUGAAUGAUCGAGUCGCAGUUAAGAUCACUGAAGAGGGAAAAGAAGAAGAAAGCAAACCCACGUGGAAUUGAGCUCGUUUAGGUGGCGGUGGAGGUGGAGGCGGAGGCGGAAGAGUUGACUGAAGUAUUAGGAGGAAUUGUGACGAAAUUACCGUAUUAAGAGGGAAUUACGAGAGAAAGGAUGCAUCGGAUGUGAGCAUGUUAGGAAUUCAUGAUUAGUAUAUAUGAUGUCUGUUUCUAGUUUAUGCUUAUGAGUUUGGAAUGAAGUGUAUGAGUAUUCUUAGUCUACUAAUCUUUGUGGAAUCCCUGACCGACGCGCUGUGUGCUAAGUUAGGGAUAAUGAGUAUUCUUUGUGGAAGCCUUAGCACCCAAGGUUGUUGGGAAUUAGCUAACGAGCUUAAUAGACAAGAGAAUGGUUGGACCGA